rnacentral:rRNA from 1 species
UACGGAGGGUGCAAGCGUUAUCCGGAUUCACUGGGUUUAAAGGGUGCGUAGGCGGGCAGGUAAGUCAGUGGUGAAAUCUCCGGGCUUAACCCGGAAACUGCCAUUGAUACUAUCUGUCUUGAAUACCGUGGAGGUGAGCGGAAUAUGUCAUGUAGCGGUGAAAUGCUUAGAUAUGACAUAGAACACCAAUUGCGAAGGCAGCUCACUACACGAAUAUUGACACUGAGGCACGAAAGCGUGGGGAUCAAACAGG